rnacentral:misc_RNA from 1 species
GAUGAAGAACGCAGCGAAAUGCGAUAAGUAAUGUGAAUUGCAGAAUUCAGUGAAUCAUCGAAUCUUUGAACGCACAUUGCGCCCGCUAGUAUUCUGGCGGGCAUGCCUGUCCGAGCGUCAUUUCAACCCUCAAGCCCCCGGGCUUGGUGUUGGGGAUCGGCGAGCCUCCGCGCCCGCCGUCCCUUAAAUCUAGUGGCGGUCUCGCUGUAGCUUCCUCUGCGUAGUAGCACACCUCGCACUGGGAAACAGCGCGGCCACGCCGUUAAACCCCCAACUUCUGAACGUUUGACCUCGGAUCAGGUAGGAAUACCCGCUGAACUUAAGCAUAUCAAUAAGCGGAGGA